UCGGAGGAAAAGAAACCAACAGGGAUUGCCUUAGUAGCGGCGAGUGAAGCGGCAAAAGCUCAAAUUUGAAAUCUGGCACUUUCAGUGUCCGAGUUGUAAUUUGAAGAAGGUAUCUUUGGGUCUGGCUCUUGUCUAUGUUUCUUGGAACAGAACGUCACAGAGGGUGAGAAUCCCGUGCGAUGAGAUGACCCAGACCUAUGUAAAGUUCCUUCGAAGAGUCGAGUUGUUUGGGAAUGCAGCUCUAAGUGGGUGGUAAAUUCCAUCUAAAGCUAAAUAUUGGCGAGAGACCGAUAGCGAACAAGUACAGUGAUGGAAAGAUGAAAAGAACUUUGAAAAGAGAGUGAAAAAGUACGUGAAAUUGUUGAAAGGGAAGGGCUUGAGAUCAGACUUGGUAUUUUGUAUGUUACUCUUUCGGGGGUGGCCUCUACAGUUUACCGGGCCAGCAUCAGUUUGGGCGGUAGGAGAAUUGCAAAGAAAUGUGGCACUGCUUCGGUAGUGUGUUAUAGUCUUUGUCGAUACUGCCAGCCUAGACUGAGGACUGCGGCUUCGGCCUAGGAGUGC
rnacentral:rRNA from 1 species